rnacentral:lncRNA from 1 species
AAAAGAAAUUGUCCUUGAAGCUUGUAUCUGAUAUCAGCACUUGAUUGUAGAACUUGUUGCUGAUUUUGACCUUGUAUUCAAGUUAACUUUUACCCCUUGGUAUUUGUAGAAUGCCUAUACAUAUCUUUGAUUUCUUAGUACAAGUGGCUUGGUCACUUUGUGGCUGUUGUAAGAACGUGCUUGUGGAAGACAAGUCUGUGGCUUGGUGAGUCUGUGUGGCCAGCAGUAUCCGAUCUGUGCAGG